rnacentral:rRNA from 1 species
CCUACGGGAGGCAGCAGUGAGGAAUAUUGGUCAAUGGACGCAAGUCUGAACCAGCCAUGCCGCGUGCAGGAAGACGGCUCUAUGAGUUGUAAACUGCUUUUGUACGAGGGUAAACGCAGAUACGCGUAUCUGUUUGAAAGUAUCUUACGAAUAAGGAUCGGCUAACUCCGUGCCAGCAGCCGCGGUAAUACGGAGGAUUCGAGCGUUAUCCGGAUUUAUUGGGUUUAAAGGGUGCGUAGGCGGUCUGAUAAGUUAGAGGUGAAAUCCCGAGGCUCAACUUUAGAAUUGCAUUUGAUACUGUUCGGCUAGAGAGCAGUUGCGGUAGGCGGAAUGUAUGGUGUAGCGGUGAAAUGCUUAGAGAUCAUACAGAACACCGAUUGCGAAGGCAGCUUACCAAGCUACCUCUGACGUUGAGGCACGAAAGCGUGGGGAGCAAACAGGAUUAGAUACCCUAGUAGUC